rnacentral:lncRNA from 1 species
ACUUUCUCUAAAGAUGCAGCUAUAGCCUGAAUCAUGCAUAGUAUAUAUACAAAUUUCAUCAGUAUAUAAAGUUAUUAUCAAAGAACAGAAAACGGAUAAUGUUUACCUCUGAUCCGUCGGUGUUACUCUUUUUUGAUAAGUCAAUAGCAUCGUCCAAGAUGAGCUUCUCAGAUGGCCAUGCAAUUUUGACUCCAACAGCCUGACUAAGCGAUACACAAGUUGUAGUUGGUCUCCAUAUAGGUGCUGUUACGACUGAAACACACUUCACUACAACAGCAGCCGCAUUAGGACCCAGUGGAAUUCGACCAAUCUUAUAUGUGGGUUCAUCAGAGUAGAAUUCUCCUUCAGCAACAACCAAAUCAUCAUUCGAGAUCCAAUCCAGUAUCUGGCACCUUAUUCCUCCCUUGCUCACAUCGCUUAACUCAGAAGUAGAAUCAUAUCCGCUUUUUUGCUAACCCAAUAAGGAAACAAAACUUUUAAAAUCUUAAAGACCACAAAAUCUAUAAUAAUUAUCAACAGCAAUAAGGAGUUACC